UACGAAGGGGGCGAGCGUUGUUCGGAUUUACUGGGCGUAAAGGGCGCGUAGGCGGCGCGAGAAGUCGAGUGUGAAAGCCCCGGGCUCAACCUGGGAAUUGCGCUCGCUACUCUUGUGCUUGAGUUCGGGAGAGGAGCGUGGAAUUCCCAGUGUAGAGGUGAAAUUCGUAGAUAUUGGGAAGAACACCGGUGGCGAAGGCGGCGCUCUGGACCGAGACGUGACGCUGAGCGCGAAAGGCGUGGGGAGCAAACAGGG
rnacentral:rRNA from 1 species